rnacentral:rRNA from 1 species
CCUACGGGAGGCAGCAGUGAGGAAUAUUGGUCAAUGGUCGGGAGACUGAACCAGCCAAGCCGCGUGAGGGAUGAAGGUACAGAGUAUCGUAAACCUCUUUUGUCAGGGAACAAAGGCGGGGACGCGUCCACGGAUGAGGGUACCUGAAGAAAAAGCAUCGGCUAACUCCGUGCCAGCAGCCGCGGUAAUACGGAGGAUGCGAGUGUUAUCCGGAUUUAUUGGGUUUAAAGGGUGCGCAGGCGGUCUGUUAAGUCAGCGGUGAAAGCCCGGGGCUCAACCCCGGACCGCCGUUGAAACUGGCAGUCUCGAGUUGGAGAGAAGUAUGCGGAAUGCGCGGUGUAGCGGUGAAAUGCAUAGAUAUCGCGCAGAACUCCGAUUGCGAAGGCAGCAUGCCGGCUCCACACUGACGCUGAGGCACGAAAGCGUGGGUAUCGAACAGGAUUAGAUACCCUGGUAGUC